UACGGAGGAUCCAAGCGUUAUCCGGAAUCAUUGGGUUUAAAGGGUCCGUAGGCGGUUUGGUAAGUCAGUGGUGAAAGCCCAUCGCUUAACGAUGGAACGGCCAUUGAUACUGCCAGACUUGAAUUACUAGGAAGUAACUAGAAUAUGUAGUGUAGCGGUGAAAUGCUUAGAUAUUACAUGGAAUACCAAUUGCGAAGGCAGGUUACUACUAGUGGAUUGACGCUGAUGGACGAAAGCGUGGGUAGCGAACAGGAUUAGAUACCCUGGUAGUCCACGCCGUAAACGAUGGAUACUAGCUGUUCGGGGCAACCUGAGUGGCUAAGCGAAAGUGAUAAGUAUCCCACCUGGGGAGUACGUUCGCAAGAAUG
rnacentral:rRNA from 1 species